CCUACGGGAGGCAGCAGUGGGGAAUUUUGGACAAUGGACGCAAGUCUGAUCCAGCCAUGCCGCGUGCGGGAAGAAGGCCUUCGGGUUGUAAACCGCUUUUGUCAGGGAAGAAAUCUUCUGGGUUAAUACCUCGGGAGGAUGACGGUACCUGAAGAAUAAGCACCGGCUAACUACGUGCCAGCAGCCGCGGUAAU
rnacentral:rRNA from 1 species